CCUACGGGAGGCAGCAGUAGGGAAUCUUCCACAAUGGGCGAAAGCCUGAUGGAGCAACGCCGCGUGGGUGAAGAAGGUCUUCGGAUCGUAAAACCCUGUUGUUAGAGAAGAAAGUGCGUGAGAGUAACUGUUCACGUUUCGACGGUAUCUAACCAGAAAGCCACGGCUAACUACGUGCCAGCAGCCGCGGUAAUACGUAGGUGGCAAGCGUUAUCCGGAUUUAUUGGGCGUAAAGGGAACGCAGGCGGUCUUUUAAGUCUGAUGUGAAAGCCUUCGGCUUAACCGGAGUAGUGCAUUGGAAACUGGGAAACUUGAGUGCAGAAGAGGAGAGUAGAACUCCAUGUGUAGCGGUGAAAUGCGUAGAUAUAUGGAAGAACACCAGUGGCGAAAGCGGCUCUCUGGUCUGUAACUGACGCUGAGGUUCGAAAGCGUGGGUAGCAAACAGGAUUAGAUACCCCGGUAGUC
rnacentral:rRNA from 1 species